CAGCCGCCGCGGUAACACCAGCAGCCCAAGUGGUGGUCGCGUUUAUUGGGCCUAAAGCGCUCGUAGCCUGGCCGGUAAGUUCCCCGUGGAAUCGGGUCGCCCAACGAUUCGGCUUGCGGGGAAUACUGUCGGUCUUGGGGCCGGGAGACGCCGAGGGUACUCCGGGGGUAGCGGUGAAAUGCUGUAAUCCUCGGGGGACUACCAGUGGCGAAGGCGCUCGGCGAUAACGGGCCUGACGGUGAGGGGCGAAAGCUGGGGGCGCGAACGGGAUUAGAUACCCCUGUAGUCCCUGUCUCUUAUA
rnacentral:rRNA from 1 species